rnacentral:rRNA from 1 species
GAUGAACGCUGGCGGCGUGCCUAAUACAUGCAAGUCGAGCGAACAGACGAGGAGCUUGCUCCUCUGACGUUAGCGGCGGACGGGUGAGUAACACGUGGAUAACCUACCUAUAAGACUGGGAUAACUUCGGGAAACCGGAGCUAAUACCGGAUAAUAUAUUGAACCGCAUGGUUCAAUAGUGAAAGACGGUUUUGCUGUCACUUAUAGAUUGAUCCGCGCCGCAUUAGCUAGUUGGUAAGGUAACGGCUUACCAAGGCUACGAUGCGUAGCCGACCUGAGAGGGUGAUCGGCCACACUGGAACUGAGACACGGUCCAGACUCCUACGGGAGGCAGCAGUAGGGAAUCUUCCGCAAUGGGCGAAAGCCUGACGGAGCAACGCCGCGUGAGUGAUGAAGGUCUUCGGAUCGUAAAACUCUGUUAUUAGGGAAGAACAAAUGUGUAAGUAACUAUGAACGUCUUGACGGUACCUAAUCAGAAAGCCACGGCUAACUACGUG